rnacentral:tRNA from 1 species
GGCCCGUUAGCUCAGUUGGUUAGAGCGUCGUGCUAAUAACGCGAAGGUCGUGGGUUCGAUCCCCCCAAAGGCCA